GGAGCAGCAGCAGCAGUAAUGCAAAGGUCAGGAUUUCAGAUCAGCUGGACACCAACAUGCUGUGCACACUGUUCAGCCCAGUGUGUCUGAUCAUCAUCACUGUUAAUCCAGGAUCAGCCUGAAGACACCGGAUUAAGUAACCAGUGUAGAUGUGGCUCAAAAAUCUCUAGUUUUCCGGUACUACCUUCAGUGUCCAUCAGGCAAAAUGCCAAAAGCGGAAGACAUCUAAAAGUUUUAUAUGCUAUCUACAUAAACAGUUCAUGAAACCUACACUGAAGACAAUCAAGUGGUAACUUGACAAUCACUCAAGGUGCUCAGGCAGCCAAAAUGUGGUUCCCACAAAAAUAAAGUUGUGAAAGAUUCCUAACUGGAAGACCCAAGUACAUGUUCCGAGGAUUGGACAAACGUAAGUACCAAGCUGCAAGUGGACAAUAAUUUAAAAUAAGCAGCUAAGGGGAAUCUAAGUCCCACAGUCUUUGCACUAAUGCCCAGAGCAUGGGAAAUAAACAAGAUGAGCAGGAA